ACGGGUGCGUAACGCGUAUGCAACCUGCCUGACACAGGGGGAUAAUCCGAAGAAAUUUGGUCUAAUACCCCAUAAUACCGAUAUAGGCAUCUAUGUUGGUUGAAAGCUUUGGUGGUGUCAGAUGGGCAUGCGUUGUAUUAGCUAGUUGGUGAGGUAACGGCUCACCAAGGCGACGAUACAUAGGGGGACUGAGAGGUUAACCCCCCCACACUGGUACUGAGACACGGACCAGACUCCUACGGGAGGCAGCAUG
rnacentral:rRNA from 1 species